GUGUCAGCAGCCGCGGUAAUACGUAGGGGGCAAGCGUUGUCCGGAAUCAUUGGGCGUAAAGCGCGUGUAGGCGGCUCGGUAAGUCCGCUCUGAAAGUCCAGGGCUCAACCCUGGGAUGCGGGUGGAUACUGCCGGGCUCGAGUCCGGAAGAGGCGAGUGGAAUUCCCGGUGUAGCGGUGAAAUGCGCAGAUAUCGGGAGGAACACCAAUGGCGAAGGCAGCUCGCUGGGACGUGACUGACGCUGAGACGCGAAAGCGUGGGGAGCAAACAGGAUUAGAUACCCUGGUAGUCCACGCCGUAAACGAUGGACACUAGGUGUGGGAGGUGUCGACUCCUUCCGUGCCGAAGCUAACGCAUUAAGUGUCCCGCCUGGGGAGUACGGCCGCAAGGCUAAA
rnacentral:rRNA from 1 species